AUUUCGAGUGACACAUUUCAAGCAUUUUAUAUUCUUGGUAAUAGAUUUAUUGGUUUUUGAUAACCGUACGUCACACUUCAUGCUGUUUAGCAGGUCAGGGCCAGCUAUCAUAACUACACAGCAUGCACGGUUUUCUUGUGCAGGUGUAAACCUGUCCUCAGCAACAAUCUCAGAAUCAUCACUUGGAUACACAGCAUCCCAUUGCAUUGGAGAAACUACCGAUGUCAAGCGAGUUACGGAUCUAUCUUUUUCCCCUUUCUUUCAAUGUCCUCUUCGUGUACGCCCAUGUGAAUGUGGGUGUAUUCACGAGGACACCCUUUUUACCCCAUCCCGUCUGGUGCAAUUUAAAUCUUCAGUGGAUGGAUGGAGCAACUGUGGAUGCCUGGCUGUAAUUCCCAGGC